rnacentral:rRNA from 1 species
AUACGGAGGAUGCAAGCGUUAUCCGGAUUUAUUGGGUUUAAAGGGUGCGUAGGCGGGACUGUAAGUCCGGGGUGAAAUACUGCAGCUUAACUGUAGCUUUGCCUUUGAAACUGCCGUUCUUGAGUACAGUUGAGGUAGGCGGAAUGUGGUGUGUAGCGGUGAAAUGCAUAGAUAUACCACAGAACGCCGAUUGCGAAGGCAGCUUACUAAGCUGUUACUGACGCUGAGGCACGAAAGCGUGGGGAUCAAACAGGAUUAGAUACCCUGGUAGUCCACGCUGUAAACGAUGAUUACUGGUUGUUAGCGAUAUAUAGCUAGUGACUGAGCGAAAGCAUUAAGUAAUCCACCUGGGGAGUACGUCGGCAACGAUGAAACUCAAAUGAAUUGGCGGGG